CUGUCAUUUUUUAUUAAAAUGGAAAACUGUGAAGAAAGAAAAAGAUAGCAGUUGAAGUCAAAAUUCUCGGAUGACUAUUUUGCUUUUGAGGAGUCAGCAUUUAAAAACGAUAUGCUGAUUUGGAAGGUCCUGGGAGUAAACUGCAAACUUUAUUUUUUCCAUUCAAUCAAUGGAUUUUUUAAUCAUUCCUUGGAGUCGAUGAAGUUCGGAAACGGUGUGUGAUGGGGAACGUGGCGGGCCAGUGUGUUCCUAGAAAUUGCAUCUUGGAUUAGUUUGCUGCUUUUUUGAAGAGAUUCCAUUUUGAAGGGCAAGAACCUAAUGUGAUGGAUUUAUCUUCAGAAAUGAACAGACAUGGGAAGAAUCCAGUGAGUCACAAGCUAGAAGAUCAGAAGAAGGUCUCAAAACGGUGUGGUUCUUUUAAG
rnacentral:lncRNA from 1 species